AUUGAACGCUGGCGGCAAGCUUAACACAUGCAAGUCGAGCGGAGUGAUGGUGCUUGCACUAUCACUUAGCGGCGGACGGGUGAGUAAUGCUUAGGAAUCUGCCUAUUAGUGGGGGACAACAUCUCGAAAGGGAUGCUAAUACCGCAUACGUCCUACGGGAGAAAGCAGGGGAUCACUUGUGACCUUGCGCUAAUAGAUGAGCCUAAGUCGGAUGGCUAGGUGGUGGGGGAAAGGCCUACCAAGGCGACGAUCUGGAGCGGGUCUUAGAGGAUGAUCCGCCACACUGGGACUGGGACACGGCCCAGACUCCUACGGGAGGCAGCAGUGGGGAAUAUUGGACAAUGGGGGGAACCCUGAUCCAGCCAUGCCGCGUGUGUGAAGAAGGCCUUAUGGUUGUAAAGCACUUUAAGCGAGGAGGAGGCUCUUUUGGUUAAUACCCAAGAUGAGUGGACGUUACUCGCAGAAUAAGCACCGGCUAACUCUGUGCCAGCAGCCGCCGUAA
rnacentral:rRNA from 1 species